rnacentral:rRNA from 1 species
GGGUGAGUAACACGUGGGUAACCUGCCUCAAAGUGGGGGAUAGCCUUCCGAAAGGAAGAUUAAUACCGCAUAAAGCCAAGUUUCACAUGGAAUUUGGAUGAAAGGAGUAAUUCGCUUUGAGAUGGACCCGCGGCGCAUUAGUUAGUUGGUGGGGUAAUGGCCUACCAAGACAGCGAUGCGUAGCCGACCUGAGAGGGUGAUCGGCCACAUUGGAACUGAGAUACGGUCCAGACUCCUACGGGAGGCAGCAGUGGGGAAUAUUGCACAAUGGGCGAAAGCCUGAUGCAGCAACGCCGCGUGAGUGAUGAAGGUCUUCGGA